GGCUCAUUAAAUCAGUUAUCGUUUAUUUGAUAGUACCCUACUACAUGGAAUACCUGUGGUAAUUCUAGAGCUAAUACAUGCGCAAAACCCCGACUUCGGAAGGGGUGUAUUUAUUAGAUAAAAAACCAAUGCCCCUCGGGGCUCCUUUGGUGAUUCAUAAUAACUUCACGAAUCGCAUGGCCUUGCGCCGGCGAUGGUUCAUUCAAAUUUCUGCCCUAUCAACUUUCGAUGGUAGGAUAGUGGCCUUACCAUGGUGGCAACGGGUAACGGGGAAUUAGGGUUCGAUUCCGGAGAGGGAGCCUGAGAAACGGCUACCACAUCCAAGGAAGGCAGCAGGCGCGCAAAUUUACCCAAUCCCGAUACGGGGAGGUAGUGACAAUAAAUACUGAUACAGGGCUCUUUUGGGUCUUGUAAUUGGAAUGAGAACAAUCUAAAUCCCUUAACGAAGGAACAAUUGGAGGGCAAGUCUGGUGCCAGCAGCCGCGGUAAUUCCAGCUCCAAUAGCGUAUAUUAAAGUUGUUGCAGUUAAAAAGCUCGUAGUUGAAACCUUGGGCCCGUCCUGCCGGUCCGCCUCACCGCGAGUACUGGUCCGGAUGGGCCUUUCUUUCUGGGGAAUCCCAUGGCCUUCACUGGCUGUGGCGGGGGAACCAGGACUUUUACUGUGAAAAAAUUAGAGUGUUCAAAGCAGGCCUUUGCUCGGAUACAUUAGCAUGGAAUAAUAGAAUAGGACGUGCGGUUCUAUUUUGUUGGUUUCUAGGACCGCCGUAAUGAUUAAUAGGGAUAGU
rnacentral:rRNA from 1 species